GAUGAAGAACGUAGCGAAAUGCGAUAAGUAAUGUGAAUUGCAGAAUUCAGUGAAUCAUCGAAUCUUUGAACGCACCUUGCGCCCUUUGGCUAUUCCAGAGGGCAUGCCUGUUUGAGUAUCAUGAACACCUCAACUCUCAUGGUUCUGCCAUGAUGAGCUUGGACUUUGGAGGUCUUGCUGGCCCCUGUGGUCAGCUCCUCUCAAAUGGAUCAGCUUGCCAGUGUUUGGUGGCAUCACAGGUGUGAUAACUAUCUACGCUUGUGGUUUUCCACCAGGUAACCUUCAGUGAUGGAGGUUCGCUGGAGCUCAUAAACGUCUCUCCUCAGCGAGGACAGCUUCUUGAACGUUUGAUCUCAAAUCAGGUAGGGCUACCCGCUGAACUUACGCAUAUCAAUAAGCGGAGGA
rnacentral:misc_RNA from 1 species